rnacentral:rRNA from 1 species
UACGUAGGGCGCAAGCGUUAUCCGUAAUUAUUGGGCGUAAAGAGCUCGUAGGCGGUUUGUCGCGUCUGCCGUGAAAGUCCGGGGCUUAACUCCGGAUCUGCGGUGGGUACGGGCAGACUAGAGUGCAGUAGGGGAGACUGGAAUUCCUGGUGUAGCGGUGAAAUGCGCAGAUAUCAGGAGGAACACCGAUGGCGAAGGCAGGUCUCUGGGCUGUAACUGACGCUGAGGAGCGAAAGCAUGGGGAGCGAACAGG